rnacentral:rRNA from 1 species
GCGGCGGACGGGUGAGUAAUGCCUAGGAAUCUGCCUGGUAGUGGGGGAUAACGUUCGGAAACGGACGCUAAUACCGCAUACGUCCUACGGGAGAAAGCAGGGGACCUUCGGGCCUUGCGCUAUCAGAUGAGCCUAGGUCGGAUUAGCUAGUUGGUGAGGUAAUGGCUCACCAAGGCGACGAUCCGUAACUGGUCUGAGAGGAUGAUCAGUCACACUGGAACUGAGACACGGUCCAGACUCCUACGGGAGGCAGCAGUGGGGAAUAUUGGACAAUGGGCGAAAGCCUGAUCCAGCCAUGCCGCGUGUGUGAAGAAGGUCUUCGGAUUGUAAAGCACUUUAAGUUGGGAGGAAGGGCAGUUACCUAAUACGUGAUUGUUUUGACGUUACCGACAGAAUAAGCACCGGCUAACUCUGUGCC